ensembl:lncRNA
UUCUCGAAGAGAAAACGCGUGAUUUUCACUUAAAUGGGGGAUUUCCGAAGAGAAAACGCGUGAUUUUCGCAUAAAUGGGGGAUUUGUGUAGAGAAAACGCGUGAUUUUCUCGUUAAAUGGAAGAUUCCUGAAGAGAAAAGGAGUGAUUUUUGCUUAAAUGGCGGAUUUGUGAAGAGAAAACGCGUGUUUUUCGCUUAAAUGAGGGAUUUGCAAAUUGAAAAUGUGCGAUUUUCGGGUUAAAUGGGGGAUUAGCGAAGAGAAAACGCGUGAUUUUCGCUUAAAUGGAGGACUUGCGAAGAGAAAACGCAUGUUUUUAGGGUGAAAUGGGGGAUUCUCGAAGAGAAAAUGCUUGGUUUUCUGGUUAAAUGGGGGAUUUGCGAAGAGAAAACGCGUGACUUUCGCUUAAAUGUGGGAUUUGAGAAAACGCGUGAUUUUCGCUUAAAUGUUGGAUUCUCAAAGAGAAAACGCGUGAUUUUCGGGUUAAAUGGGGGAUUUGCAAAAAGAAAACGCGAGAUUUUCGGGUGAAAUGGAAGAUUCCUGAAAAGAAAAUGCGUGUUUUUUGCUUGAACGGCGGAUUUGUGAAGAGAAAAUGCGUGUUUUUGCUUAAAUGGGGGAUUUGCGAAGAGAAAACGCUUGCUUUUCGGGUUAAAUGGGGGAUUCUCGAAGAGAAAACGCGUGGUUUUCGGGUUAAAUGUUGGAUUCUCGAAGAGAAAACGCGUGAUUUUCGCUUAAAUGUGGGAUUUCUGAAGAGAAAAUGCGUGUUUUUUUGUGUUAAUUGGGGGAUUUGCAAAGAGAAAAUGCGUGAUUUUCGCUUAAAUGGGGGAUUUGAGUAAAUACAUGAUAUUCGGGUUCAGUGGGGGAUUCUCGAAGAGAAAAUGCUUGGUUUUCUGGUUAAAUGGGGGAUUUGCGAAGAGAAAACGCGUGACUUUCGCUUAAAUGUGGGAUUUGAGAAAACGCGUGAUUUUCACUUAAAUGUUGGAUUCUCAAAGAGAAAACGUGAUUUACGCAUAAAUGUGUGAUUUGCGAAAAGAAAGCUCGUGUUUUUCGCAUAAAUGGGGGGUUUGUGAAGAGAAAACGCGUGAUUUUCAAGUUAAAUGGGGGAUUUGCGAAGAGAAAACGUGUGAUUUUCGCUUAAAUUGACGAUUCUCAAAGAGAAAACGUGUGAUUUUCGCUUAAAUGUGGGAUUUCUGAAGAGAAAACGCGUGUUUUUUUGUGUUAAAUGGGGGAUUCUCGAAGAGAAAACGCGUGAUUUUCGCUUAAAUGGGGGAUUUGAGAAGAGAAAACCGCGUGAUUUUCGCUUAAAUGGGGGAUUUGCGAAGAGAAAACGCGUGAUUUUCGCUUAAAUGGGGGAUUCUCGAAGAGAAAACGCGUGAUUUUCAGUUAAAUGGGGGAUUUCCGAAGAGAAAACGCGUGAUUUUCGGUUAAUGGGGG